AUGAACGCUAGCUACAGGCUUAACACAUGCAAGUCGAGGGGCAGCAUUUUAGUUUGCUUGCAAACUGAAGAUGGCGACCGGCGCACGGGUGAGUAACACGUAUCCAACCUGCCGAUAACUCCGGAAUAGCCUUUCGAAAGAAAGAUUAAUACCGGAUAGUAUACGAAUAUCGCAUGAUAUUUUUAUUAAAGAAUUUCGGUUAUCGAUGGGGAUGCGUUCCAUUAGUUUGUUGGCGGGGUAACGGCCCACCAAGACUACGAUGGAUAGGGGUUCUGAGAGGAAGGUCCCCCACAUUGGAACUGAGACACGGUCCAAACUCCUACGGGAGGCAGCAGUGAGGAAUAUUGGUCAAUGGGCGCGAGCCUGAACCAGCCAAGUAGCGUGAAGGAUGAAGGCUCUAUGGGUCGUAAACUUCUUUUAUAUGGGAAUAAAGUUUUCCACGUGUGGAAUUUUGUAUGUACCAUAUGAAUAAGGAUCGGCUAACUCCGUGCCAGCAGCCGCGGUAAUACGGAGGAUCCGAGCGUUAUCCGGAUUUAUUGGGUUUAAAGGGAGCGUAGGUGGAUUGUUAAGUCAGUUGUGAAAGUUUGCGGCUCAACCGUAAAAUUGCAGUUGAAACUGGCAGUCUUGAGUACAGUAGAGGUGGGCGGAAUUCGUUGUGUAGCGGUGAAAUGCUUAGAUAUCACGAAGAACUCCGAUUGCGAAGGCAGCUCACUAGACUGUCACUGACACUGAUGCUCGAAAGUGUGGGUAUCAAACAGGAUUAGAUACCCUGGUAGUCCACACAGUAAACGAUGAAUACUCGCUGUUUGCGAUAUACAGUAAGCGGCCAAGCGAAAGCAUUAAGUAUUCCACCUGGGGAGUACGCCGGCAACGGUGAAACUCAAAGGAAUUGACGGGGGCCCGCACAAGCGGAGGAACAUGUGGUUUAAUUCGAUGAUACGCGAGGAACCUUACCCGGGCUUAAAUUGCAACAGAAUAUAUUGGAAACAGUAUAGCCGUAAGGCUGUUGUGAAGGUGCUGCAUGGUUGUCGUCAGCUCGUGCCGUGAGGUGUCGGCUUAAGUGCCAUAACGAGCGCAACCCUUAUCUUUAGUUACUAACAGGUUAUGCUGAGGACUCUAGAGAGACUGCCGUCGUAAGAUGUGAGGAAGGUGGGGAUGACGUCAAAUCAGCACGGCCCUUACGUCCGGGGCUACACACGUGUUACAAUGGGGGGUACAGAAGGCGGCUACCUGGUGACAGGAUGCUAAUCCCAAAAACCUCUCUCAGUUCGGAUCGAAGUCUGCAACCCGACUUCGUGAAGCUGGAUUCGCUAGUAAUCGCGCAUCAGCCAUGGCGCGGUGAAUACGUUCCCGGGCCUUGUACACACCGCCCGUCAAGCCAUGAAAGCCGGGGGUACCUGAAGUACGUAACCGCAAGGAGCGUCCUAGGGUAAAACUGGUAAUUGGGGCU
rnacentral:rRNA from 1 species